AAGGCGUUAACUUAAGUUUAAAGUAUUGAAUUUUUAAUUCAAGAAUGGGUAUUCCACGUUUUA
rnacentral:tRNA from 1 species